rnacentral:lncRNA from 1 species
CCCUGGAGGUUACUGCCACUCGAAGCAAGAGCUGCAACAGCAAGGUUGUUCCUCGUGAAACAAAUUCGCUUCGACCGCGAUCCUGCAUCCUUCGCAAAUGAAGAUGACGGUGGCGCGGCCUCCCUGUCAUCGCGUCGCUACUGCGCCGGGAGGCGCUAACCGGAAAAACGCAAGCUGGGACACCCCCAUGGGAAAACGCGAGCAGCUAUGAAGAAGGCAAAGAGCCGGCAUGAUCGCUUCCUGAGCAUACGCGGCGUCUGAAAUAGUCCGGCACACAGCAUCCGUUCUCAUUAACUCCGCACCCGUCAAGCACCCUUCAUCGUCGUCGCCAACGCAGCAUCCCAGCUCCCAAACGGGCCACCGGCCUGUCACCGCCAGGGCUUCGUAACGUCGGUUGGCGUACUACUUGUCGGCUCCGAACUGGGACGGAGCCGCCAAAGCGGUCCUUCCCGCAGGAACCAACCUCCGGUUCGUGCCAAGACCCAAAUAGAAGCAAACAGAAAAGGUGGAGCCGAACAAGACAGCGCCAGUGGUGGAGGCGAUGCCGGCUCAGUGGGGAAGGAAGGGCGAGCCAUGGAGACGCAUUUGAAAUGCGAAUUUUCUCCGGGACGCUCCGGCCAACCGAGCGAGACAGACCAACCGAGAGAGGCCCGCCACCACCGCCUAUAUGAGGGAGUUCGGGGAAAGCGGAGGGGGGCAGAGGGAGGCGUUGUCGUCUCUUCCUCUUCCUCUCACUCUUCCUUGACUGUACAGAGGCUUCCUACUCAUAUUUCUUAAACUCACUACUAUACUGUACGCCCUCGUCUUGUGCUUACGUCUUUCGCGUUCUGCCACUGCUUUUCUUUUUUGCCUGGCCCUUUCUUUAUUAUUAUUUAUAUUCUUUCUUGUAGAUACACUGUCUGGCAUUUCGGAAUGCUUCGCGUUUUGCCCGACAGUUUUCUGAUAUUGUGCACUAUCUCAACACCACGUCCGUCGUCAUUAUCGUUUCCUUAUUCUUUUAGUGCUUGCUUCCUUCGGUUCUGUAUGUUCGUCUUCC